ensembl:snoRNA
AGAUCUAGAAAGGAUUCAAAUGGGCAUUGGUAAUUGGUGUCCAAAAUUGGUCAAAGUAGCUAAAAUUGAGACACAGAUCAUGCUUCCAUCACAGCAAACAUAUUACAGUGGUGGCAAUGAGACCUGUAACAAUU